UUUUCUGACGGAAUCGCUUUAUUCUUUCUAUUUCUAGGAUGGUCGUCCGUGAUCACUUACUCUGGCAUGGGUUUGCAUCUCCGCUGCUGCCGUUAGCGGGCCUCCACGGACGGUCAUUGUAGAGCGACGCACACUUCUCACAGUGGUAGCCAGCUGUGUGGGUUCAGCACUGCUGUAACGGGACGUACACAAAGAGCCAGGCUGAUUAAAAUCAUCGGGCAAACCAAACUCCAUGCUACAGUUGUGUGCAAACACCUUAAGAACAUCCCAGGAUUUGCCAAAGUCAGUAGAUCGUUCAACGACCAUGGCGGCAGGCCGCGGUGAGCGGAACAACACAACCACAUGGGACAGACAGAACUGUGUUUCCAGGUCCAGAUGGAUCUCAUCAUGUCCCGCUUCUACAAUGGUCCCUGCACUGGAUUCCCACCAGCCGCACUAAAUCCAAAUUACGCGCCUCUUUGAUGUCUAGCCGGAGGAAACCUGAGACGAGGAUAAAAAUAGUCCUUCGUGCAGCCUUAUGGUGCAUUGAGGCCCCAAAGUGAUCUGACAAAUGGAAUUGGCUUUCCAUCAUCUGUAUGUCUGGCUAAUGGGAUUAACGCUGUCAGUCUUCAUCGUGGCAGCUGAUAAUAAACACAUGCGAUGCGGCGUCUAACCGUGCAUUUUUGUAUUCAUUCUUGUAACCACACACAUGGCUGACAUAUUCCACUCCCUCCUUUUACAAAUAAACAACAUGCCUUUUCAGUUUUAUUGCUCAACCAGGAAAAGCAGGACCGCAGAACUGCGUUGGUUUCAAAAAAUAGCAACAAUAAAUUUA